GUUUAUGUUUCAGCCUGAGAGAAGAACAAAUUUCAGAGGACUGGGAGCACCUUUUGGAAUGGCUGCAGAAGAACACCGAGGGCCAUGAAGACCAGAUAAACCAUGAUAAUACUAGUAUUAAAUAGAUCCUACCCCAGAAGCCGUCACCCAAACCUAGUGACCGUAGUACUACACGACUCUUGAGGUACAUACCGUCAAAAUGACUGGGGUUGGGACCGAAAAGAUUGGCCCAGAGUGAUAACUGGAACAAUUGGUGAAGAAAUUAAGGUAGGAUGCAGAAAAAUGGAAAAGUCUCCUUAUGAGAAAGCUUCCACCGUUGCAAUCGUUGGAAAUUUUCUAGAAUCAGAUGUGACAAGCAAUUUGCACCCCAACAUCAUGGCAAAACUCUGCGCCACAGCAGUGUGGUCAUGGAACAAACAAUCCCCCCUCAUACUGUGUUGUCAUCAGAAAAAUAUUAGUUACUAUACCCUGGACCCCUGUACCAACAAGGUGGAAAUUACAAAGCUUUGUAAAAACCAAUCUACUGACUGUUGGUAUCAUUUCACUUGAACCAAAUCAACCUCUGUAACAUGUAAUUGGCAAAAUGACCUGACAUAUCAGUCAGGUCUGAAAGGUUUAAUUCAUAGACUCAAAAUGAAUGCAGUGGCACUGAGUGCAGUAAUCACAUACCAUGGUGUAAGCACCCCCCAGUGCUGGAUGACAAACAUAAUGUUUUCCCUCCCUUUAUGGGAAUGCAAGGUGAUGAUGUGACAAUAACCUGAAAAUUAAUUGCUGAAUCCUCAUUGAACCUGUAUACAGUUAUGGCACAGGACCUCAUGGCCAUGUUCUGUUUUGUGAAAUUCAAAAUCAGAAUUGUUGGCUAAAGCUAACUGACGUACAAUUUUCCCAUCAAAUCGUGUGUGGGAAAAACAAAACCAAAUACUGAGGAGAACUUGAUGUCAAUAUUGUGACACCUACACCUACCACCACCCAAUCUCCGGUUAUACUGAGCCCGAGAAAUUUUGAAAUCGGGCCAUGUAUAAUCAGAAAAACUGGCCAACAACAAAUAUUGUUUAAUCCAGCGUGGUCUCUUAACCAAGUCAAAUUGCUAAUGCAAAACAAUGUCUCAGAAGUUCAGCCAGCUUGUUCACCUUUUUUGCAAACUUCUUUUGAGAGGUGGACACCUGGUUGUGAAAGCGUAAUCCUUCUAAGAAACGAAUGACAAGAUCAUAACCUGUGCUGUGGGAACAGGACUGGGAAAUUUGAAUAGUAUUGAUUCAGAAGUGCAGAUGAACAAACUGGCUACCACAAGUGGGGAUGUAACCAAAUUACAGCAACCACUGCAGUCAUCCUUAUCGGCUUUGGGAACCCAACAGUGGUUACUAUCAAACAUAUUACCAAAUUGGGAAAAGGUAAAUGAAAAUGAUCACAAAUUGAUAAUUGAUGCACUCGGUGCCACACAAAAUAACAUCUCUGUCGCUUCUUAGCUGCAUUCAGGCUCAGUUGUGGAUGCAGUCAGUUACUGCCUCAAUUGUAAGAGAAGGCAAAGAAGGCACUUUUCCUGCUGAAAGUCAACAAAUAAUUUGGGACAAUGCCACUGAUUUGGAAAAAGAAUUCCAAUCCUGGUGGAACCUAGUAAAUUUUACCUGUGACCCCAGCACAAACACAGCCACAGCCUUUGUACUGACUAUACGGAAUGCUUCAGCGCUUUCAAUAUUCCCUGUCAUUGCAUUAGGGCUGAAUCAUGAUGGAGCUGCUCUCUAUCCUUUGGAGCACAAGGAAUGGGCUCAUCAAAUUGGUGAGAAGUGGCAAACUGUUGGUUUGGAAACUUCAUUAAUAAUUAAUUCACCGUUAAUUUGGAAACUGUAUUUUCCGGGAACAACAAGCGUUUAUCUGUGAAAGUAAUGCAACCAGAGCUCAAGAUAUUUGUUUGGACAUGGAACAAAAUAUCUGCAACUCUGAAAUCCAUCGUACCGAGACUUCUGAAACUACUUGUGCAUAUAGGAUGUGGAUGUGCGUGUUUGAGAACUGCUUGUGAUAGUGUACUUCUAGAAAUCUUAGUAGUGAAUACAAAAAAAUCAUUCAAAUUUUUGUGUUUGUAAUUUUACUAAGAUUGCAGGAGGUGAUUUUUCUUAUAUAGUCCCAGUUAUUUCUUACCACCUUUUACAGUCCAUUUACACACUGAUCCACCAUUUAUUGCCUACCUCUAUUGGGAUGAACCUCACUCAGGUAAAGCAACUGUUGCUUCAGCAGGAUUUAAUUGAAAUUUUGGAAAAGUAAAAAUAGGAAAUUGUCCCUCGUGAUAAAGAAAUUGCCUGAAAUUGUUUAUUUGGGUUUUAUUUGAUUAAUUGAAAUUACUUAUUCUUUGUAAUAAGAAGUUGAAUGUUUAUUUUAAUUGAAA